rnacentral:tRNA from 1 species
UCCCGGGUGGCUCAGAGGCGAAGAGUCCACCUGCCAAGCAGGAGAUGCAGGAGACCCAGGUUCGAUCCCUGGCUUGGGAA